AUCGGGGGUUCAACUAUAAUGGGACGUCAUUGACUACAAGGUUCAAAAUGUCAUAUAGAUUAAUCCACCUUAUCCACAAUGUCUGUACAACUACAUGUAAGGAUCAUGGAAGACGGAAAAAUGCUUGUCUCUUUCACCAUGAGUAGUGCAUCAAAAUUUUAACCUCUCAUCCUUGUUCCAAUGGAUGAAGACAUAAUACUAGAUUUUUACCUGAACCUUUCUGUUCUUAUCAACACGGUAUUUUAGUCAUAUACAGUUACAGGUUUGAUGUUGAUUUCCAAGAUGCCUCCAGCUCAAAAUUCAUCGGGAGACCAAGGUAAAACAGAACAACUUUGAAGUUUAUUCCUUUUAAAUUUCAAGAAUCUAUUUGAUUAAUGUGUUUCAUGAUUGAUGUCAGAGAAUGCUGCAGACCAAGGUAAAACAGAACAACUUUGAAGUUUAUUCCUUUUAAAUUUCAAGAAUCUGUUUGAUUGAUGUGUUUCAUGAUUGAUGUCGGAGAAUCCUGCAGUUGAUGCUCAACAAAAAGGAGAAGUUGCUGGCAAUGCAGAUGGUGUUUAAAGAAGAAAAUAGCAUAAUUACUGAUGGUGAAAGUAAAAAUUAUCAUGAGAAAGUUGCAGCUUUACCUACUUAUGACCCUUCAACAGCUAAAGAACCUCACCUUGAGAACUACGAAGAUGGCAAAAGAGAUGAAUAUAAGAGAAACGCAGCUUAAGCAUCCUUUUCAAUGUACAAGAUUUCAAACAUCUGCAAAUGAUUUAGUGAGUCAAGUCACUAACUUGAAACGCAUAAUUUUGAUCAACCUCUGGACUCAAUUUUGGAGGGGAAGGAUGAUCUUCAUGACCAACCAUAUAACCAGAAAGGUGAAUCCUCAAGUGUUUCCAGUGAGACAGUAGAAGAAUGCAUCAUAUCAUCAUCACUUGAAGAACAAGAAACUACAAGGAAUGGAAGAUCAGGCCAGAACGAAGAUAACUGACAUUGGUUAAGGCAGCAAAGAGAGAACUCUUUUGAUGCACCAAAGAAUAAAUAUGAGUUACCAACUGAACAAGGUAAAGCAAGUCUCUACUGCAGCUCACCCUCAAAUUCUUGGCCUGUAUAUAUUGUUGAUCUAUAACAUAAGGAAGCCCGGCAAUGUGACAUAACUUCAGGCAACAUGGUGGUACAUCUUUCGUCAAAGGAUGGAUCCAAGAAGGCCAACCCUAAGUUGUUGUUCGUCAUCCAGUUUCUCCUCCAUCUCCAUCUAUUAGUUCAGUUGUUCCAGCAACAGAUAAAAAAGAGACAUUUUUUGUUAGACUUGAUAAUUUAGCUACCCUUAAUGUUACAAGGAGUGUUUUGUAAUUACUAUUAAGUUUUUUGUUAUGAUAAUAUCUGAAUCCCUUAUUACCA